UGAACCCCGUACUCUGUAUCAUCCAUUCUCAGUAAGCAUGAGAGGAGCUGAGAGACAAAGAAGCAACACAGAGUUACUAGAUUUCCAUCCAUCUGAUUUGGUCUCAUGACCUGCAGCAAGCAACAAACAUGAAAACAAGAAGCCUGGAGAGGAGUAGAUCAACUGCAGGACGAGAAGGAGAAGAGGCAGGACAGAAGCUCCAGGAAGGUGAUAAACAGUGGAGAACAGUGUAACAUAAAUGAAACUAGAAGGACACUCGGAAAGUGCAGACCUCCACCAAGGCAUCCCCUACCUCAAAAAGGUAAUGCUGUGAGAAUUUUACCAGUAGGGACUCAUUUUCCUGAUUAUUCUGACACCACAUGAAUGCAGCCUAUACGCCCUAUUGCGCAAUGUUAACGAAAGUUAAAAAUAAUUUGUAUAUCCGCCCCGGGAUUCGGGUCUGCUUUAAAGUUAAAUGGGUUCUUCCUUGGCCCAUGCUACACCCUUCCAUCAUGUUUCAUGAACAUUGCCAGUAGCGUUUCCAUAACCCUGCUGACAGACAAACAAACUAACAAACAGCAAGGGGAACUGAAAACAAAUAACCUCCUUAGCGGAGGUAAUGACUGAGGAAAGAAUUAACGACAUUUCACGACUCAUCCAGGAGGAUUCAUCUCAAAUUCUAGAAGGCAUUUUAUUCCCUGAACAACUAAAAUAAAUAUUGUUUGCUCUUUCUUUGUAUUAGACUAGUCAUCACUUACUGAAAUAUCAAAAAAACAAUUAUAGAAUGGAUUGACAUAAAAUUUGGUAAAGACAUUCAUGGUUUCUGCUGGCGCCAUAAUGAGGUUGACAAUGUUUUGUGAAAUAUCUCAAGAAAUACUUGAUGGAUUGCUAAAAAUUAUGUGCAGAUAUUCAUGGUGUUCAAGACUUUGGUGAUCCUCUGACUUUCCCUUAAAGAUUUCACUUACCCAGUAAAAUUUCUCAAAUACUAGAUGGCUUGGUACACAAUUUUGUUGAGACAUUCAUGGUUCUCAGACAAUAUAUCCAAAUUAAUUUGGUGAUCCCCUGACUCCUCUAGUGCCAUCAUCAGGUCAAGUUUGUCUAGUACUUUGGUUUAUGACCUACUACCUGCAAAACUGUCAAGUCUCACAUGUACUUUGUGAAGUGCUAAUGAGCAAAUGUUAGCAUGCUAAACUAAACUAAGGUAAAUUACCUGCUGAACAUCAGUUUGUUAGCAUUAUUGUUUGGAGCAUGUUAGCAUUUACAUGUAGAGUAGUCCAGUGUAUUUUUCCUACAGUUUAUUUCCGCAUGCUAUCAAUAUAAAUAAGUACACUUUUAAAUGUGUAAAUGCUGUGUAAUCCACCAGAG